rnacentral:rRNA from 1 species
UACGUAGGGUGCAAGCGUUGUCCGGAAUUAUUGGGCGUAAAGAGCUCGUAGGCGGUUUGUUGCGUCGGCUGUGAAAACCUGCGGCUUAACUGUGGGCUUGCAGUCGAUACGGGCAGACUUGAGUUCGGGCAGGGGAGACUGGAAUUCCUGGUGUAGCGGUGAAAUGCGCAGAUAUCGGGAGGAACACCAGUGGCGAAGGCGGCUACCUGGACCAGCACUGACACUGAGGCACGAAAGCGUGGGGAGCAAACAGGGAUUAGAAACCCCGAUGUA